GUGCCAGCAGCCGCGGUAAAACCAGCACCUCAAGUGGUCAGGAGGAUUAUUGGGCCUAAAGCAUCCGGUAGCCGGCUCUGUAAGUUUUCGGUUAAAUUCAUGUGCUCAACGCAUGGGCUGCCGAAAAUACUGCAUAGCUAGGGAGUGGGGGAGGUAGACGGUACUCAGUAGGGAGGGGUAAAAUCCUUUGAUCUAUUGAUGACCACCUGUGGCCAAGGCGGUCUACCAGAACACGUUCGACGGUGAGGGAUGAAAGCUGGGGGAGCAAACCAGAUUAGAUACCCGGGUAGUCCCAGCUGUAAACGAUGCAGACUCGAUGAUGCAUUGGCAUAUAGCCAGUGCAGUGUCGCAGGGAAGCCGUUAAGUCUGCCGCCUGGGAAGUACGUACGCAAGUAUGAAACUCAAAGGAAUUGACGG
rnacentral:rRNA from 1 species